AACAACAACACAGUGGUGCAUCUGCAUCAGGUAGCACGUGGGGGGGAUGCCACGAUAUUCCACCGUUAAGAAUUCCACUGUUUAAAAAUUCCAGAUGUUCAAAAUCCCAGAUUUCUAAAUUAAAGCUCUAAGGUGAAGAAUGGUGUAAUGAUAGUGUUGAAUUAUGCAUAUUACUGACAAACCUCGGAGUUUUGCGUGAUUUUGAUGAUAUGAUAUAUGGGAUGAUAUGGGAUUCUAAACGGUGGAUUCUUAACGGCGGCAUUUCGGGAUACCCCCGCACGUGGAGCACCUAAAUAUGCAAGGAUGCAAGUCUUGUGCAACGUGGAGAGCUUUCGUGAACAGGCAUGGUGCAUACGGUCGGUUCGGCUGCUGCAAGGUCCACAGGCAAGAAACCUAUCGGAGCCUCAUCAGAAAGUGGUUUCGGGGACCGGAAAGGAGCACUGCUACGACACAUCUAGCUUCAUCUCUCGUCAAAAAUGGUCACGUCUUUGAGCUGUAGCAGAUACCAUCUUGGGCCUCGACUGUGUGCCUUCUCAGUGUCUGAGUGCAAGGAAAUUCAUAACGAGAGACAACAUUUUUGUUGAAUUAGGAACAAUCAACAUCGAACUGCAAGAAUAAGCAUCAUGUUGAGCAACCAAGACUGUGCAGUCAGAUUUGCAGCUUGACUGGUAUGGACUUCAUCCUGCUUGCUUUCACUGGAGCUGGUAUGGCAUGAAACGUAUGUUGUAUAAUUAGAGUUGCACCUCAGUGAUAGGCGAGAAGCAUGCAUGAUGCAAUGACUUGGAUGCAAUUGGAGCUUCAUUCCCAAGCUUCUGCAGAACUGGUUGAGAAGGCAUUCUGAGCCCAAGUUAAUGGCCAAUUCUAUCUGCUGUUGGUCAACUUUGUACCUUCUCCACCAUAGCCGUGAUUCCUGCGUCAUGACUUUUGUCUCACACCUGGCAAUAUCAGACAUCUCCAGAAGUACCAUUGUUGCACUACCUCUCCUUCUCGAGUUCUUCCUUGUUCUAAACAGCUGGGGCUCUGUCAUCACUACGAUAUCCAAUACGACCAGUAGUGAUCAUCAAGACCAUAUCACGAGGCCUCCACGUGCUUGCCUUGUCGGUCUAGUGCCCUGGCCAAUUUCAUCGCCGUCCUCCCAGCCAUUGUGGAUGCGACACAAGCAGAGGAACGAGAAGACGCCAUCUUGGCUCUUGUGGUAUUACCACCACCACAGCAGCAUUUCCAAUCGCACACCGUAGAUUUGGCAUAGCGCAUUCAUUGGUUGUCAGCAGAGCCCAACAGCAUUAUAACUAGUUACUAUCAUACCUUUACUAGAUUACUAGUGACGUACUACGCUGCAUACACGUUGCCCACAUACCAUACAACAACAUCCAACCAAGCCGCCAACUCCACUUUGCGCCUUCGACUUGAAAAUCCCCACAUAGGUACACGGAUGUCCCUAUCAUGCCACGGAAAGUCUCCCCUAUGAGGAAGUCCUCCGCCAUCAAAUUUCUUGGUGUCUCUGAGAUAUUCCGCGGAAAAUAGCGUAGAUUGAAGACUGAGUACCAAACUAGGAAGACGUUGUAGCACAAGACCGUGUCUGGUCUUGAGUGUCUCAGAAAGUAUGGUCGCUGUUUUGCGCCACAGAACUUUCCCUAUGUAUGGGGACUGUUUGGCGUUUGUGAUCCCCGAAGAGUUUCAACGGCGUCGAAUUACAUUUCUCAGUUGUAGAUUUUAACAUUUCGUGCCGACAUCGCAUGUUGUGCACAUCACUUUAUUUUGACAACAACAUUAGGCUUAGUGGCAUGCUUGGCGUCGUGCUCUGUGUCGUGCUCGAUGCCGGUAAACAUGGAUGGCGUGCGCCAUGUAUGCAGGAUUGUUUACAUCCUCCCUCCAUGUCUGUGUAUCGAUGUCGUUUAAAAUUAUGAUAAUAAAGUAUAUCAGAAAAGCAA